GUUUUUUUUUCUCAACGGGCAGAGAAAAACGUUUCUACUUGUUUCUCUCUUUAUUUGUUAGGGUUCCUCCUCCUUUGAGUUCUUCCCGUGAAAUCAACUUGAUGGAGUGUCCAAAUUACCAUAUUGAUCAGCACUUUUAUCUCGAGUGAUAUUCCUUUCGCUCUCUUUUAUCUGCAACUAAGUAAAACGGCAGAUGCAUUUUCCAACACUGAAAUCCUCUUUCUUAUCUACUUAAUAUAAGAUUUCACAAAGAAAAAGUUUUAACAAUUGGCGUCUUUUUUUAGUGACAUCAAAAGAACUGAGAACAAAUAUCUACUAGUAUAGAUUUAGCACAAAAUACAUAUACACGCAGACACAUUUCUUUUUAGCCAGCUAAUUCCGUUGUAUCUAAGAAUUUUAAGUCGAUGAUAUAACCAUUUAGUUAUAUCUUACGAUUUUUUAAAAUAAAACAUAUAAUAUGUUAACGAAGCUUAUAAUUUUUAUUAGCCACAUUUUUUCUUCCUAUCCAUAAUAAUCUGAUAGGGAUUUAAUUUGGACAAUGUUUUUUGUAUUUCUAGUUUAAUCUCCCAUUAACAUAUGUUCAACUGGUCAAUUUCUUUUACUACCUACACAUUCCUUAAUACUAAAUCCAAAUUAAUACUAAACAAUUAAUAAACUACUAUUUUUAGGAAAAAAAUUGUAACAAAAGUGUCAUUAUAUAUAUAUAUAUAUAUAUACUAUAAUAUAUAUAUAUAUAUAUAUAUAUAUAUAAUAUAAUAAUAUAAUAUAUAUAUAUCUAUAUAUUAUAUAAUAUACUAUAUAUACUAUAUAUAUAUUAUAUAAUAUAUAUCUUCGACUCACUUUGUCUUUUGACAAGUGAAAAGUGGAGGGAUGGUCCUAUCGCUCUAGACGUAACCAUGCGAAGCUCCACUCGGCUCCUUGACUCUAAAAAAACUUACCCUUUCAAUCAGGAUAGAGGUUGGAGUAGGGCGCUAGUAGCUCCUCCCAAUAACCAUGUUUGCCAUAUUCCCUCUAUUUGUUCGUUGUUGCAGGGAAUGAGUUCAGUGCCGCGUCCAUAGCACAAACAAAGUAGAGUGACAACAUAUAUUUCCGUGAAAGCAAGUAUUUUACAGGGAGUUGAGGCCCAAUAUCCUAAAUUCAAACAAUGCUUGGCGUUUGUGAUAACCGCAAAGGAAACUCAGACCCUUCUUUUCAGAGGGCAUCCGGGUAUUGUAAAAUCAAAUGUGAUAAAUGAAACAAAUCAGCACCUUUUUGGACUCGAUUUUAAUUAAAUUAUAUAAUAUUUGUUUCGAUUUAAUUUAUAUUAUUCGAUAUUACUUGGUAUUUUCCUUCCUAAUUUUAAUUCCCAGGCAACAAUUACUUUCAAAGCAUACGUGAAAAAGAAGAACAAGGAGGUGCAAAAAAGAUGUAAGAAGCAAAUUCCACUAAAGCCCGCCCCACAACUAUCACUAGAAGCGCUGAAGCUGUGACGAACCGCCACACCCGUAAGGUGUGACGAGUGUCACGCCCCCUGCUUUGUGUUACGAGCGUAACACAUGGUGUGAUGAAACGUCACCACCGCCCAUUCCUACUAUUUUUGGGUUGACAGCGUAACAGAAGCACGUUCUUCAUCUUUCUUCGCCUUGAACAGUUGACGUGAAGGAAACCUACUGAAGGAAGAAACGGUCAACUUGAUGGAUUGAUAUAAAUAGGAAAAAUUGUGGAACCUGCGAAGGGAACAGCUGCAAUUUUUCAGUUUUUCGCACCGCAUUAUUUUUUAACUGGUUUUUUCUUAUUUUCCAGCACUCGUACUUUCCUAGCAAUUUUUAUUUUCCCUUUUCUUUUUCCCAGUCAAUUUUUAAAGCAUUCAAUAAUUUCUCACAAAUAGUUUCUACAACCGGAAACUAUUGUGUAAUUUUUAACUGGAUCUAACUUCACGUUAAGAUCAUACGUAUUUUUAUUCGCUCGUUUUUAUUUCUUUGUCCGAUCGAAGACUUGUAAGAACAAAUCGCAACGGUUGUGUUGAGAAGUUCCAAGUCAUCGAAGCUAGGAAAUAAUUAAGCUUCUAUUAAUUUUACAGGUUCUUUAAUUUAUUGUUUAACAUUUAUAUAUGCUCUGCACUGCUAUUUAUUUAUACUAGUCUACAUCUGAUAUGGCUAUAAUGUAAGUAAUACAUUAUUGUUAAGGCUUGUUUUAGCAUGUUCUUGCUAAUAAACUUAGAUAUCGUAUGUAAAGUAAGCGAAUGGAAGGAUCAAAACCUAAGUUGGUUUAAUUUUAUUUAAAAACAUAACUCACUCUUUUAAAUGGUCCUCAAUUUACAGAGUUAAUACCAUGGGUUUUUGUACGAGAGUAAAAGACAUAACAAGACGUUAAAAGCAAAUACCGACGGUUUGAGCUUUUAAACGUGGACAGUGUAAACUUGGACAUUACAAUUUUAAAUCAGGGCGAAAGCAAUUUUAGAGUUAAUAAAUUCUAAUCAUUUCAAAACAAGUAUUUUUAAAGGGUAAACUGUGAGACGACGAGUUUCAGCAUUUAAGUUUAAUUAAUACAUCUAAGUCACACACGAGCGAGAGUUUACGACAAGGGUGUUUUAAAAUGGUCAGCAUUUUCUUAAAAAACGAGUUUCUACUAUAGAUUCUAUUGUUUUCAAAAGUGGACUUUUGGACUUAACUAACUAGUGACAGGCGCAACGUUAAUAAUACAAGUCAUAGUCUAAUUCAACACGACUACCCUUUAAAAAUACUUUUUGAAAAUGAUUAGAAUUUAAUUAACUCUAAAAAUUGCUUUCGCCCUGAUUUAAAAUUAAUGUCCAAUUUACACUGUCCAGUUAAAAGCUCAAACCGUCGUUCUAUUGCUUUUAACUUCUUUAUGUCUUUUACUCUCGUACAAAAACCAUGGUAUUAACUCUGUAAAUUGAGACCAUAAAAAGAGUGAUUAUGUUUUUAAAUAAAAUUAAACCAACUUAGUUUUGAUUCCUUCAUUCCGCUUACUUUACAUACCGAUAUCUAAGUUUAUUUAGCAAGACAUGCUAAACAAGCCUAAACAAUAAUUAUACUUACAUAUAGCCAUAUCAGAUAGACAGUAUAAAUAAAUAGCAGUGCAGAGCAUAUAUAAAUUUAAACAAUAAAAUUAAAGAACCUGUAAAAUUAAUAGAAGUCUUAAUUAUUCCUAGCUUCGAUGCUUGAACUCUCCACCACAAACCGGUUGGAUUUGUUCUUACAAUCUUCGAUCGGACAAGAAAAUAAAAACGAAGGAAUAAAAUACUAUGAUCUAACGUAAGGUUAGAUCCAGUUAAAAAUUACACAAUGUUUCCGGUUGUAGAACUAUUUGUGAGAAAAUUAUUGAAUGCUUAAAAUUGACUGGGAAAAGAAAGGAAAUAUAAAAAUUGCUAGGAAAGUACGAGUGCUGGAAAAUAAGAAAAACCAGUAAAAAUAAUGCGGUGCCGAAAAACUGAAAUUGAGCGUUCCCUUCGCAGGUUCCACAAUUUUUCCUAUUUAUAUCAAUCCAUCAAGUGACCGUUUCUUCCAUUCAGUAGGUUUCCUCACGUCAACUGGUCAAGCGAAGAAAGAGGAAGAACGUGCUUCUGUUACGCGUCAAACCCAAAAAUAUAGGAAUGGGGGUGUGACGUUCAUCACACCAUGUGUUACGCUCGUAACACAAAGCAGGGGGGCGUGACACUCGUCACACCUUGUGUGGCGGUCGUCACAGCUUCAGCGCUUCUAGUUGAUAGUUGUGGGCCGGGCUUUAGUGGAAAUUGCUUCUUAUCAUCUUUUUGCACCUCCUUUUCUUUCUUUUUCACGUAUGCUUGAAAUAAUGUUGCCUGGAAUAAAUAGAAGGAAAAUACCAAGUAAUAUCGAAUAAUAUAAAAUAAAUCGAAACAAAUAAUAAUAUAAUUUAAUUAAAUCGAGUCCAAAAGUGUGAUGUUAUUUCAUGUUAUCAACAUUUGAUUUUUACAAUUACCCGAUGCCCUUGAAAGAAGGGUCUGAGUUUCCUUGCGGUUAUCACAACCGCCAAGGCAUGUUUUUGAAUCUUAGGAUAUUGGGCCUCAACUCCCUUAAAAUACUUGCUCACGAAAUAUAUGUGUCACUCUACUUUGUUUGUCUAUUGGACGGGCACUGAACUCAUUCCCUUGCCAACAACGAACAAAUAGAGGAAUAUGGGCAAACAUGUUAUUGGGGAGGAAGCUACUAGCGCCCUACUCCAACCUCUAUCCUGAUUGAAAGGGUAAGUUUUUUAGAGUCAAGGAGCGAGAUGGAGCUUCGAUGGUUACGUCUAGAGCGAUAGACAUCCCCCACUUUUCACUUGUCAAAAGACAAGUGAGUCGAAGAUAUAUAUAUAUAUAUAUAUAUAUAUAUAUAUAUAUAUAUAUAUAUAUAUANNNNNNNNNNNNNNNNNNNNNNNNNNNNNNNNNNNNNNNNNNNNNNNNNNNNNNNNNNNNNNNNNNNNNNNNNNNNNNNNNNNNNNNNNNNNNNNNNNNNNNNNNNNNNNNNNNNNNNNNNNNNNNNNNNNNNNNNNNNNNNNNNNNNNNNNNNNNNNNNNNNNNNNNNNNNNNNNNNNNNNNNNNNNNNNNNNNNNNNNNNNNNNNNNNNNNNNNNNNNNNNNNNNNNNNNNNNNNNNNNNNNNNNNNNNNNNNNNNNNNNNNNNNNNNNNNNNNNNNNNNNNNNNNNNNNNNNNNNNNNNNNNNNCUCUCUCUCUUUCUCUCUCUCUCAUAUAUAUAUAUAUAUAUAUAUAUAUAUAUAUAUAUAUAUAAUGACACUUUUGUUACAAUUUUUUUCCUAAAUAUAUUUAUUAAAUUGUUUAGUAUGUAAUUUUUGAUUAGUAUAAGGAAUGUGUAGGUAGGUAAAAGAAAUUGACAUUGACAUAUGUUAAUGGAGAUUAAACCUAGAAAUAACAAAAACAUUGUCCAAAUAAAUCCCUAUCAAGAUUUAUAUGGAUAGAAGAAAAAUGUGGCUAAUAAAAAUUAUAAGCUCUUAACAAUAUUUAUAUUUUAUUGUUAAAAAUCGUAGAUAUAACUAAAUGGUUUAUAUCAUCGACUUAAAAUUCUUAGAUACAACGAAUUAUGUGCUAAAAGAAAUGUGUCGCGUGUAUAUGUAUUUUGUGCUAAAUCUAUACUAAGUAGAUAUUUGUCUACGUUCUUUUUUGGAUGUCACUAAAAAAUACGCAAUUGUAAACUUUUCUUUGAAAUCUAUAUUAAGUAGAUAAGGAAAGAGAUUUCAUGUUGGAAAAUGCAUCUGCGUUUUACUUAGUUGCAGAUAAAAAGAGAGGAAAGGAAUAUCACUCGAGAUUAAAGUGUGAUCAAUAUGGGAAAUUGGACACAUCCAUCAAGUUGGGAUUCACGAAGAACUCAAAGGAGAGAACCUAACAAAUAAAGAGGGAAACAAGUAGAAACUUUUUCUCUUGCCGUUGAGAAAAAAAAAAGAAUAUCCAGAAGCAUCAACAUCAGGAUACGCCUUGCAUGGAAUUCGUGCAAAAAAUUGUACAAACGCACAUGAAAAAAUGACUGUUCAAUUUACAUAUUGUUUAAAUUGGAUACUUGAUAGUGGUGUUUCACACCAUAUGACUCAUUUGACCUCAAUAUUGAAGAAAAUCAGAAAAUUAGAUAAAAAUUUCUACAUAACUACACCAACAGGGAUUUCAACCUUAGCUGAAAAUAUGAGAGAUGUGAAUUUAUCAAGUUCCCUUACGUUGAAAGAUGUGUUAUUGGUUCCUAAUUUUAAAUGCAAUAUGAUUUCAAUUCAUAAACUAACAUACGGUUUGCACAGUUAUGUGAUUUAUGAUCGAAACUCUUGCCCAAUAGAGGACCAAGCCUCAAAGAGGAAGAUUGGAUCAUGGGACCUGCAUGAAGGGGUUUUUGUGUUUAAAAAAUAACAUCAACAAGGAUUCAUGGGUGCAUCUAAGAAGGACAUGGAAACCUUAUGGCACAUCAGAAUCAGACAUUCCUAAAAUCAAGUUCCUCAACAUAUUUCACAUUUAGUCAAAUGUAAUUUUGAUAGAGAAAAUUAUUGUGAUGUAUACCACAACACAAACCAAUGUAGAAACCCUUUCCCUUUAAGUAUUAAUAAAGCUGAAACACCUUUUGAGUUGAUUCACUGUGACAUAUGGGGGAAAUGCCAUACUGCCAUAAACAAUGGAUCACCCAUUGUAGAUGACUACACUCAUGGAACAUGAGUAUUUUUAAUGAAACACAAGACAAAGGUUUUACAACAUUUGAUUAACUUUAGAAAUCUAAUCAAAAGGAAGUUUAAUAUGCAUACUAAGAGGAUUAUGAGUGACAAUGGGAUAGAGUUAACUAACUAUGAUUUCAAGUGCUUCACUCAAAAAGAAGGGAUCAUUCAUGAAAAUUCUAAUGUUGCCACACCUCAACAAAAUGGGUGUGUGGAACGCAAGCAUAGAAAAAUUAAGCAUAGAACGAGCCUUACGUUUUCAAGAAAAUCUCCCAUUAUAUUUUUGGGGAGAUUGUGUAUUGACAGUAGUGUAUCUAAUCAAUAGAACCCUUAUAUUGGAAAAUAAGGGAAUCACUUCAUACAAGUUACUUUUUAAGGGAGCACCAAACUAUGAGCACUUGAGAACUUUUGGCUUCUUGUGCUACAAGAAAAAUGACUCAAAGGGAAUUAGUAAAUUUGAUCCCAAAGCCGAAAGAUGUGUUUUUAUUGGUUAUCCACAAGGACAAAAAGGGUGGAAAAUUUACAAUCCAAAGACUAGUGAAUGCUACAUAUUGAGAGAUAUAGUGUCUUAUGAGCAUAUAUUUCCUUAUCAUGUGCAAGACAAUAAUGACCUACUAAUUUUAGAAAGAACUCAUCAAGUGAUAACCUCAAUGACAAGUCUUCACUAUAAUGAUGCAGAAUUGGAAGAACCAAACCUUGAGGAAAUUCCUCAUAAUGACCUUUACCCAUUAAGAAGCCUGAAUACACAAGUCAAUUUCAGAGUGAGCCUAUACAACAAGCACAUGUAUCCAUAGAUGACAUGAACGAGGAAGUCACCAAUGAUUCUAAAAAAUAAUCAUCAAGUGAAAGUGAAGGAAACAUCUCAAAUGAGGGGGGGCCUCAAAACAUGCCACACAUAAGACGACCACCAAAUUAUCUAAAAGACUAUGAUUGUGGCAAAUUAAACAUAAACCCCAAGUGCAUGACAUCAAUUCCAUAAUCCUCUUCAGGUAUCACAUAUCCCAUCUCAAAAUUCUUAAAAUAUGAUAAGUUUUCAUAAAAACAUAAAACUUACCUUACAACCAUCACUAAUAACGAAGAACCUCAGUCAUAUACCCAAGCAGUCAAGCACACAGUUUGGAGGGAGGCCAUGGCUCAAGAAAUCAGGGCUCUUGAAGAUAAUGAGACAUGGGAACUAACUCAUUUACCACAAGGAAGAAAAAUGAUAGGAUAUAGAUGGGUGUACAAAAUCAAACAUAAAGUUACAUGUGAGAUUGAAAAAUACAAGGUCAGAUUAGUUGCUAAAGGUUACCCACAAAUAGAAGAUGAGGACUUCAAAUAAACUUUUCCACCAAUGACCAAAAUGACCACAAUCAAAUGCUUGUUAACAGUUGCAGUGGCGUAAGGAUGAAAAUUACAUCAAAUGGAUGUUAGGAAUGCCUUCUUACAUGGAGAAUUGAUAGAAGAAGUAUAUAUUAGUCAUUCACAAGGAUAUAAAGUUCCAAACAAAGAUUUAGCAUGCAACUUAAAAAAUUGAUUAUAUGGAUUGAAACAAGCUUCUAGAAAUUGGUAUAGAAAGCUAUCUCAAUCUUUGAUAAAAUAUGGUUUCCAAGAUAACUAGACUGAUCAUAGUCUAUUUACUUAUUCACAUGGAUCAAUAUUUUUGUUGUUUUGAUCUAUGUUGAUAACUUGAUCAUUGCUAGUAACUUGGAAUGCUUGAUUGUAAGCCUUCUUUGUUUCUAAUGGAACAAAAUCACAAACUUUUCUUGGCCAAAGUACUUCCACUCUUAGAACCAUCAAGGUAUAUGAGAUUGGUUGGAUGUUGAUUUACUUAACUAUCAAUGGGCGUGAAUUAACCUACUCCGUUCAUAUUCUAAGUCAAUUUGUAACACCCCUUUUUCUACCCCAAAAUACUUAACAUAUAAUCAGAGUAAAUAAGCACGCAUAUAAACAAAAGGGCGUCACAUCGACGUUUUCAAAAACUAAAAACUUUCAAAAACCAACAUCAUUCAUCAUCAAUAUACAAUACACCUGGUCAUUUAAAAUAACACAUUUUAAUUAUCAUGAAUAUUCAAGAAUAUGCGUUCGCAACGGAAAAUAAUGAAUAUCCAUGCAUUUCAUAAAAUGAUCCAUGUCCCAUACCAUGAUCAUCUCUCAAUAAUCUCCUCAAGAUAACUAAAACCAUAUCCAGAAUAUUUGGCACUACGGCCUCUCAAACCGCAAAUGCAAUUAAACAUGUUCACAAGUAAUAACGUAGUACGUAUCCAAACAAGAUAUGAGUUCAAUACGACUAAUCUACCCAGUGUUACAUGACCAGAGCAUUGACUCACUACUUAGUCUCUAAAACAAAGCACCGAAACUCACCCGCUAAUCUCGAGUGAGCUACCUUCCACUUACUUCAGCAAUACUACUCUUGAGUAUCUGCACGAUGCCAUGUAAAGCAACAUUCAAACAGAAGGGUGAGAAUUCAAAUCAUUAUGAAGAAGUAUAAUAAGGCACAAUGAUUAAUCAACAAUUAAAGGAAUUCAUCCACACUCGUAUAACCAUGUAAAUAACACUAACCAAUAUUUAUUUUACAGGUUUCAAGCAUACAUCAAAACUCAAGGGAUAAUAUUAAUAAUCCAAUACUAUAUUCCCAAAUAUACACAAAUACUAUAAUUAUCACAUAAUCACAUAUUUCCAAGUUAUGUAUCCAAACAUCAUCAAAUUCAAUUACCAUAUCUCAUAUACACAUCACAAUCACAUCAAUGCAGUACAUUCAAUUAUCACAUAACUCUAAUGUGACAUCAAUGCAAGACAUGUGACUUAUGCAUGUGGUACCGCAAUGUGAACCCAACGUUUUCACCGCUUUCCGAUUCAAUAUCUAGAUUACAAAGCCACGCUUCCGAUCCGGACAAGAUCAAAGCCACUACGUCUAUUUCCAAUUAAGAUCAACGUCGCUACGCCUAUUUCCAUUCAAGAUCAACGUCUAUGUGACCCACAGUUUCACCGCUUUCCGAUUCAAUAUCUAGAAUCCAAGCCACUACGUCUAUUUCCAAUUAAGGAUCAAUGUCUGCUACGCCUAUUUCCAAUUAAGGAUCAACGUCUGCUACGCCUAUUUCCAAUUAAGGAUCAACGUCUAUACCAUGUGAACCCACAGUUUCACUGCUCCACCAUGAAGCCGACCAGUGCCAGAAUGAAUAUACAAAACCAAACAACAUAUGCAAUUAAGAUCAUCUCUACCAUCUUAUCAUCCACAUAUCACCAUAAUUCAACUUAUUGAAUUAUCCACCAAUGGUACAUAAUACACAUUCAUAACAAAUACACCAUUCACAUAAUAUGCAAUUAAGAUCAUCUCUACCAUCUUAUCAUUUCCACAUCUCACCAUAAUCAACUCUAUGAAUUAUCCACCAAUGGUACAAAUACACAUUCAUAACAAAUAUCAUUCACAAAAUAUAGGCUAAUUAUCAACUACUCACACUUAGAUUGCGUUUCAAAACGAAUACAAACAUUUAAAAUCUCAACUUUUCAUUUUCAAACAGUGGUAACCGGUUAACGCUCGGGGGUAACCGGUUAACACAAAACAGAGCAAGAACCGUUAACCUCGGGGACGGUUACCACAACAAAUGCGACAUUUCAGCGCGAAAUUUUUAAGCAAGUAACGGUUAAACGCUCGGUGGGUAACCGGUUAAGUAAAACAGAAUCAGAUUUUUUUUUGCAUUUUUCAUCGUUGGAGGACUUUCCGACCUCCGAUUUCGAUUCCGUAAAAGCACAAACGUUCAGAAACAUUAUAACUCAUACAAUACUUCUACGUAUAUAACAUUAAUUUCAGUUUUACACUAAUCAAAUCACCACAAAUCAAGAAUACUCAUCAAAACCUAACAUUUCAAACAACCAUACAAAAUUAAGGAUUUUUAACCUAAACAUACUUCUACCCAUUGACCCAAUCAUACUAACCCAUAAUAAUAAGGAUUCUCCCACUUACCUCUUUAAAUUUCUGGAAACCCUAGCUUCUCUCUUGUUCUUCUCCUCUUCUCCCUUACUUUCCUCUUUUCUUUCUCUGUUGCCGUCAAAUGAUCAAAUGAAUCCUACUUCUCACUCUCCUCACCUCUUAUAUCCUAGUAUUCUAUUUGGGCUUAAAGAAUGAUACCUCUAAUAAUUAUUAUAGGCCCAAUAAUACCUAGUAUUAUAAUAUCUCUAUUUAAUUCAAAUAAAUUAAACCAACACAAUAUACACACCAAGUUAAUUAAUAUAAUCAAUUAUUAUACUACCUAACAACCAAUUAAUUACUUAGCACUCCAAAUAAAUACAAUAGAAUAUAAUAAUAAUAAUAAUAUAAAAAAUAAUUACUAAAAUUGGGUUGUUACACAAUUCAUGUAAACUCCACUACAAGACCAUUAGGAUGUUGUUUUGCGAGUCUUACGAUAUCUCAAAUAUUUUCUUGGUAAAUGUAUCAUUCUUCCACAACAUAAGGAUCUACAACUAGUUGGCUACUGUAACUCAGAUUUGGCAUCAUGUCCUGUUACCAUAAAGUCCAUCUCAAGUUAUCUAAUGAAACUUGGAAAUCCUCCAAUAUCAUGGGGAAAAAGCCACAGUCUGUCGAUCCUCAAGUGAGGCUGAAUCUCGUGCAAUGUCACAUACCACAAGUGAAAUACUAUGACUACAUAAUUUGUUAGAGACUCUGCAAGUUCCAUGCAUCAAACCCACACUUAUGGAUUAUGACAAUCAAGCAGCUCUUCAUUUAGUUGCAAACACAAACUUUAAUGAAAUAAGAAAUCACAUUGAAAUUGACUGGCAUUUUAUUAGAGAACGUAUGCAGUCAAGUGCCAUAAGCAUAACUUACUUGUCCACCAAACAACAAAAUGCUAACAUUUUUACCAAGUACUUAGGCAUAAAAGUUUUUCAAGAUCACAUGUUCAAGUUGGAUGCUCAUAACCCUCACUCUUCAACUUGUGAAGGAGUAUUAGAGAUAAAUUUAAUAGUUUGUUAGGGUUUGUUAAGAUUUAAUAGUUUGUUAUUAGUUUGUUAGAGUUUAUUAGGGUUGAUCCUAUUUUCAAAGUUUGUUAUAGUUGAUUUCUAGAAUUUGUUAGGAUUGAUCCUAUUUUUAAACUUUGAAAAGAUAAAUCAUCAACUUAUAUAAAGACGUUGUCAUGUAGCAUCGAUAAUAAUUAGAAUACAACAUAUUUUCAAGAUAACUUUCGAUUAUUUCUACUUAAAGAUAUCAUUAAAGAUCAUCGUGAACUAUCUCAUGUCCAGUGUUAUGUAACUUUUUGGUGUAAUCCAUCUGCAACGUCUCCCUCUCAAAAUUGAUAGGCAUCCAAAACCCAUAAAUUUGGAGCGGAUUUAUUGAUCCCUCAAAGAAUAUCAAUAUAGUUAUAUUCAUAUAAAUCUUAUGAAAAAUUAGAACCUUACAUAAUUAUAUUCAUAACUAAGAUUAAUUUUGAAAUAUAAAGAAUAUAUUAAGCAUUCACUAUACUCGAUUUAAAGAAACAUAAACAUGCUAAAUAUGCAAUUAUUGCAGAGAAUAUCAAAAUUCUCAUAUCUUUUAAAAGGGAAAGAUAGCUCUGAGUUCAAUACAAAAAUUAAUAUCAAAGAGAAACAUAAACUGAUGGUGGGAAAUAUUCGAAUUUUUUACCCAAAUAUCCCUAAUUUUCAAAAAAAAUCUCAAACUACCCCACUUUUAAGUGGAGGCAUCAAACCAAUUGGCGCCAGCUCCUAAUGUUAUAGAGGAUGCGCCAAUUGGAUUGGCUAGGGCACAUGGUGCAGUCAAUUACACACUAGACACCUCAACAUCUAACCCCCAACAACAUUGUCAGACCGACUACACACAACCCUUUAUCCGUCAAACUUUUUGUUCCACAAACACACAAACAUACAACCCUAACAUGACAUACACCUAACUACAAUACCAAGAGCAUACCCCGUACCACCACCAACAACUAGAUCAUCAACCAGAGACCCAACAUCGCUUCGCACCCAACACAUCACCCUACUAAAGUUGCCUUACCCAAAACACUCAAUGAUCAUUUAAUACCAACCGUCCUUCCUCCUACCAUAGCCAAGAAGCCCAAACAUCUCAAAACUUAAACCUGCAAUAACCCUAUCUCUACCAAAUACCACAACAAUCUUUCCAACCUUUCCUCAACGCAUCAUUCACACCAGUGUCUCCCUUCAAUCGUCCUGAUCGCCCACUAACAAGUCAAACACAACCCAACUACUCUGGCAUGGGUCAUAAACUCAACUAUGGUGGUACACCUUCGAUGCAUAAACAAGACUACGUUGAAUUGUCUGACUAUCUCAACAGGCCAUCUCCUGCAGUUGGUAGUGAUGUUCCUGGGCCCUCAGUUGCUCAAAAACCUGUGGUGAAUCAUCAACGUGAGUUAGGGCCACGUGUUCGGGUAGCUAGGGUAUGUGAGACCGAAGGUCGGUUAGGUGAUCCCGGUCAUCAACAUUAGUCUUUUUUGUGUAAACGGGAAUUUAUAUUAAUAUGAAUUGGUCCGAUUUCGAAAUUAUGCAUCAUGUGGACUAUUUUUGAAAAAAAAUUACAAAAUACAUUGAGGUGUCAAUCCAAUUGGUGCCUCCUCUCUAAGUUUAAGAGUAGACGCCAAUUGGAUUGGUGCCUCCUCCUAAAAGUGGGGUAAAUUGAUUUUUUUUUAAAUCAAGGUUAUUUUGAGAAUUUUUUUCAAAAUAUAGAUUAUUUUAGUAAAAAAUUCGAAAUAUUCUAGACUUAAAAAUAAUAUAAACUAUUAUUAAAUUUAAUUAUUAAAGAUAUUAUAAUAAAUAAUAAGAUUGAAAUGAAGAGGAGAUAUACCUAAAUUGAAGGUCAUAAGGAUAUUUUGAAAUUGAGAGAGAUAGAAGAAGACUAUUUAAAUAAAAUUAAGCAUAGCAACAUCCUCUUUUUGAAAUAAUUAUGAGAUGACAAUACAUUAAGAUAUUAUAAUUCGUAAAAUGUUCUUGGAGAGCCUUUGUAUACUCUCUUGGAUACAAAACUAAAUGCUAAAUUAUAUAUGAACAUAAUCAUUGGGAGAGAUCAGGUAAGUACAUCUACAUCGUUUAUUAUCACACUUUGCCAUCUUUGGUGGGAAGCACCCAUAUGAUGGACAAUCCUCAUCUCUUCUACACGUAGCAACUCCUGUAUUAAAAAAAAAAAUGGGUUAUAUGUAUUACGAAAAAAAAGCAUAAAAGUAAGAAAAAAAUUCAAUAUAAAAAAAAUGUAUUACUUCCAUGGUUAGGUAGCACUAAAAAUAUAGAAAUAAAAAUAAUCAUAAUAUAAACAAAUUUGACAAUUUCCCCCAUAUUUCUUCCCUUGUAUUUAAGAAAUUGUUUUAUAAUUUUCUUUCUUUUAAAGUUCAAACUCUACUUACAUUAUUUACAUUAUUUACAUUUAGUGUCCUUUAUAUAGUUGUAAAAAAUCCUUCAUAAAAGUAGAAUAAUUAUUAAGAAAAACUUCUGAUACAUCGAUGUGUUGUAUUUAACACUCCAGCACAUUUAGUAGGCAUUUUAGAUAAAAAAUAAUCAAUUGAACUAAAUAGUUCAAACCUUUCAUAAUAUGAAGAGUAAAACACAGAAGAUAAAUAAUUUUGUAAGAAGAUAUAUUAAAAAUGUAUUAUUGAAAUGUAUUGUUGGAUAAAAUUUAACGUUCAAAUGUUGUGCAAUUAGCGUGAUAAAGUGUAUUUUUGGAUCAAAGUUAAUUUCCAAGCAUAAUGCAUUAGUUUUGAUUUCUUUAUUUGUGAUCUCUAGGUUAUUAGUAAUAUGAAUUUUGUACUUUAGGUUAUUAAUAAUAAUAUAUAUUUUGUUUUAUGGAAAUGCAUGUGUAUUACUUGAAGGAUUACAAUAUUUAAGUUCACGAAAACUUCUAAUAAAACAAAAAAAAAAAGUCUAAAAGGAUUAACAUUUUUUAAAAUUUUAAUCUUAACAAAUAUAACUAUUUUGUUUAUUUUUAAAUUGGUCAGGUCCUCACUCAUACGAAAAGGUUGGAUCUUCUCAAUAUUCUGAGUAUUCCUGUCAGUCAUAUAGAAAUAAAAUUGAUUUUUUUUAAAUAAUCAUAGUUUUUUAAAUUAAAUUUCUAAAUAAUUAUUUAUUCAAAAUAAAUAUCAAAAUAACCAUGUUUCGAAACAGAUGCACCAGUUGAAUUGACGCAUUCAUUUACAUUUCAAAGGAGACGACAUUGGAGCUGACGCAUGCUCCCAAUGGCCAUGCAGGUAGGCGUCAAUGCCUCUUGGUGCAUGUAUGUAUGUAUUGAUGUAUACGUCAAUGCAUCUGACGUAUGCAACUUUAUUUUUUUUUUAAUUUUAAAUGUUAAUUUAAUAAUUAAAUUAAAAAAUAUUGAAAAAAAAUAUUAUUUAUGUUAUAAUAAAAAUUACAUGGAAUUGAUCAAAAAUUCAAUGACCGACCUAAUUGAAACGUCCCCCUUUUCCACAUUCAGGUGCGUUAGUCUGUCUUCGAGAUUUUCCUAAGGUGUUUGGAAUAUUUGAGUGCUAACAUGAUCCAAUGGUGCCUGGUGUGAAGGUUCGGUGGAAGGUCCAGCAGUCUUUAAUAGAUGUGUCAUCAUUUGUUCCCAAUAGCUACAGGGGUUCUCGCCAACGACGCUUCCGUAAUUGAGUUUGGUGUCCAUGUUGUCGGAGUUGAAUCGAUGUGGUUGGGUGAAUUAUGGACGGUAUAGUUGCCCGAAUUGGGACAUUGAAUCGUUUUAGAAACGAAUCAAUGGUUCCUGGGGUGUACUAUAGUUAAACAAUGGUUGGGUGUUGUGGUGAUGAGAUGUUUGAGUGGUCAUUAGUGGGGGGCUACGAUGACAUGAAUUGUAUGAAUCAUCUGGGCUAUAGACUGUUGUGUUGGUUGCGUAUGGUUGUUGGUGGGUAUGGUUUGAUUCUUGGUUUUAAUGUUGAGUGUAUUGCAUGAAUGUGUUGCAAGGUUGGGUGUUUGGUUGUUGGGUGUAUGUGGUAGGGUGAUGGUGUGAGGUUGGUCAUUGGGUUUGGGUGGUUUGACAUUGUUGUUGGACGGGGACUUAUUGUUGGGUGUAUGAUGACGAAGCUAGUUGGCGUGGAUCAAUCAAAUACAUUGGCUCAGACACAAAUUGUUGCGUUGUAGCCGACCUAAACCAUGUCAUAUACUAUUGAGUUGGUAUAACACCAUGUAUGAUUGGCUCGUUUAAGAUGUGUUAUCGCCGAUUCCUCCAAUGACGACACAUCUCUUUUGCGAAGUCUCUCCAGUCGGAAUAAUUCCAUUAGGCAUCGACUCUUUUUUGAUGCCAAUCUUCCAAACACGUCGGAGGUUCUAAAAUUUGUUGUUGCAUGCCGAAUUGCAGUUUUACCCGGUCACUUUGGUGCAUCACCAUAGUAGUGAACCGGAUAAUUGGUGUUUUUACUGACCAAACUGCAACAUCAUCAUGGUUAACCUGAUGAUCAAGACCCAGAUAUGGCCUCUAGAUAGACUGUACAACAACACAACAUGAUUAGAUGAUAAAUAAUUUGAUAAUUAUUUUUAAAUUAAAAUAGAGUUAUGUAGGAGUAUUACAUCGUCUGGUCCAAUAUGAUCCAAUAGAUUGCGAUAGACUACUAUAUCGUGUUUCAGACACCUAUUGUAGUUCAUCCCUCUAACUGACCACCUAGAUAAAAAACAAUUGGAAAUAUUAUUUAUAGUUAGUUGUAAUAAAAAGUCUAAUUAAUUAUAUGAUAAAAUUUUAAACUUACUUUAUUGCAAACGGGAAUAUGAAUGGCUUCUCGUUUAUCGGGGCGAGUGACGACAUUCUUGACCAACCCCAUGCUUGUAACAAAUAUGCGUAUGAAUAAAAAGUACAAGUAUUUUUUUUGGAAUUUUUACACAUCACACUAUAUAGAUGGCCCAAAACAGCUGAACCCCAACUAUAUGUACUUACCUUAUUUAUGUUUCGUAACAACGGUAAAUACAUAAUAUUUACCGUAUUACCAGUACUUUCAGGAAAUAAACAAUUACCAAAUAAAAUCAUAAUAUAACACCGAGAUUUAAUUAUUUUUUUGUACUCGGUAGAUUCUUCGGUCAAUGUUAUACUUGCAUAAUAUUGUUCGAGAUAUCUUAAAUUAAUACCUUUCCCCUUAGCUUGACCGGAUGUCUCUCCCGCAGCUUGGUCGUCACACAAAGGGGCACCCAAUAAUUCAUUGCAAAUAGAGUUAUCCUGGUUAACUCUACCAUUCACGGCCUUACCAUCGAUAUGUAGACCCAACAACAUGUAGACGUCCUCAAGUGUGAUGGUACACUCACCGAAAGGAAGGUGAAAUGUGUGGGUCUUAGGUCUCCAUCUCUCCAACAAAGCAAGAAUAAAUUUAUAGUCAACUGAGUACGAGACUAUGUUGAGGAGAUUUCCAAAAACGCAUCCUCAAAUAUAUGGUUCUAUCAAAGGAUCGUGGGGUACAUAUUCAUGUACACGGCAUCAAAAUCAUUUUGGGUCCUAGUAAAACAUAAGUAAGAAAUAAAAUAAGAAGAAGUAAUAUACAAUAAAAACAUAAAUAAGAAAUAAAUACGAAAUAAGUAAGAAGAAGUAAUAACAUACAAAUGUCGAGAUAUUGUCGAUUGUUCCUCGAUAUUCAUCACCCAUAGUCAAAAGAGACAUAAUGAUGUAGAGGUUGAGUGUUGCAGAGGUUAAGUAUGGUAAAGAUGGAGUGUUGUAGAGGUUGAUUGUUAGUGUUGCAGAUGUUGAGUGUUGUGAGUUGAUGCCCUAUUUAUAGAUGAGUAAGUGUUGCAGCGGUUGAAUAGGUACGCAACAUGUGAAGCAUUGGAUAUGGUGCAAGCAUGUAACAUAGGUGUAGGCGCCUAAGGCUAUGGCGCAUGCUUGCUUUAUGACAUGCAUGGUCACAUGCGCCAAAGCUAGUGGCACAUGCAUGUCUUUUUAUGCAUGCAAGGAAGAGGCGCCUAAGGCUAGGGCACAUGCUUGUUUUAUGCACCAUUGGAAUAUGCGCCUGCCUUGGGUUAUUAGGGUAGAGAUUCCUUGUGUGCAGGCGCAUGCUUGUAGUGUUAGGGCAGAGAUUCUUUGUGUGCAGAGAUUCCUUGAAGGUGCAUGCAUAGCAUUAUCUUGUCUCUGCAUGGAUUCUUUGUAUUGCAUUGUCUUGUCUUUACAGAUGAAUUGUGCGAUCAGUGUAUACACCAUUUACCCUAUUUAAUUGCACGCGAAGAAGAUUCGAGACAACCAGGUAAAGUUUUAUCAGAAGAAGAUUCGAGAUGAUGAUGAUGUCCAUCAUAUGUUUGUCAAUCACGAACAAUCUGGGUACAACGAUAUAGAGUUUUAUAUAUUAGCACCACAACAACAAGUGUCACAGUUCAUUGAUCAAUCACAAGUGUUUUGUGAAACUGAUGACGACGAACAAGCUAAGGUCAACGUUAUAGAUGAGGAAGAAGAAGAAGUCGAGUUAUUGGUUGAUUUAAUGAUGAACGAUGAAGAAGAGGAGUCAUUACUAAUUAUUCAUGUAUAUUGGUUGAUUCAAUGAUGAACGAUGAAGAAGAAGAGGAGUUAUUGGUUGUUAUUGUCCCAUGACUUCUAAGCAUCCCUCUUUUAACAUUUGCUCAUCUGGUAGAGUUUUGAUAACGUAUUCCUUUUCUAGAAUGAUAUCUUUACUUGUUUUUCAAGUUACUUGGCUUUAAUGUGUGUGUGAAGUUUAGAUGACUUCCAUUGUUUCUCUUGAACCUCAUCUUGAUUUAACUUAUUGUACAAGUCACAACAUCCCUUGAUGUUAUGUGUGUACCUUCAUUGUUUGAUUACUUUUUGCUUAAGUUUCUUCGUUGUAUGAUUGUUUGCCUAUCUUUUGGCCUAUUUUUGGGCAUAGCUUGUGUGAUUCAUCCAUGAUGCUUGAGUAACUUAUAUGUGGAACCUAAUAUGUCAUACACUUAUGACUUGUGUGAUUGGAUACCAUUUCCCCAUGAUUCUACUUCAUUUAUGUUUGUUUGAAGUGUGUUUGCCUUUAGGAGCACGCCUAGGGUUUGGUUUUGAUCAUUACUUGCCUCAACCUUGGAGUAUGCCUUGAUAUGAUGCCUUUGUGAUGUCUUGAGUUUUAUUGUGUGUUUUGAAACCAUGUCUUUACUUUUGAUAUCAUGCAUUUACUAUUACCUUUGCCAUGUAUAAUUGUUCACACACUCGUGAUCAUUUCCCUUUACAACUUUGAAUGAUGCUUGUGCACUUUGGUGUUUGUACCAUGGGUUCAAUGCUUGUUUGAAUUUCUUCUUGAUCUGGAGACUUUAGUUAUUUGAAUAACAUCUCUUUGUUUUUAUUUUGAUGUGAUGUUGCUGCCCAGUUUGGUUUGAUAACUUGUUGACUGCUUUAGUUGUAUUCACAACCUAUUUUGAGCUUUGCCUCCCUCUUUCAUGACUAGUUGGAAUGAGAUGUUUCCAUUUGUAAACAUGUGACCAUUUGGUGAUAAUUUGUGAUGUCUUAAAGCUUGUUUAGACUUGAUAAUUGACCUCUAUAUCUUUCUUGGGUGAAGUACUUUCAUCUUUUCUACCAUGACUUGAUAUGGAUUACCUGGUUUAUCUUUCAUCUGUUCUUUCAUGACUUGAUAUAGAUUGUUAUUGCUUCACUUAUUCUUUCAUGAAUUUAUAUGAAUUGUUCAUCUUCUAUUUGUUCAUCCAUGACUUGAUAUGGAUUGCUAUGGAUUGUUAUUUUCUUUCAUGACUUGAUAUGUAUUGUUUAUCUGUCAUCAUGUUAUUUAUUGUUCCAUGACUUGAUAUGGAUAGUUUCAAUUUUUCUUCCAUGACUUGAUAUGGAUUAUUUUGUUAUUUCUUUCCUUCCCUCACAUGACUUGAUAUGGCUUACUUUGUGGAUUUUGUUUCUACUUUCACCAUGAUUUGAUAUGGAUUUGUCUUCUUCUUUCAUCACUUUUCUUUGUGUGAAUAACAUGUUCCCCAUAUGAUUUAUUCGGUUCAUUCUUGGUUAAGAUUGAACUAAAGUAGAGGUUAGGUUUGUUAACCAAGCAUGACAACAUUAGGUAGACCCUUUGAUCCUUAACCAUAGGUCAAUCUUUGCAUGAUUAUCUAGGCAGAUAUUUCCCUUUUAUCCUAACUGUAGGACCACUAUUGCAUGCCAACAUUGGAUUGAAGGUGGAUUUAUCCCCUUGUCUCUUAUUCUGAGUUUGAGAAUUUUUACGAGGAGAUUGAACUCUUGGUUGUUGAUAGGUCGGGGCUGCCGAUGGUUGUUGAUAUGCAGGGGGAGAAGGAGCACAUUGACAGGCUGGAGCAAGCUGAUAGGCCGGAGUAGGUUGUUGAACAUAUUAUGCAAGAUAAACGGGCUGCUGAUAGGCAAAAGGUUGUUGAUGGACAUACUGCUGAUGGGCAUACUGCUGAUGAUUUCUCUUUCUUGGAUGACUACUUCCUUGACUAAUAGUCACAACAUUGGUUUCACCCUUUUUCUUCUUUGGGAGCCCUCAAGAGAAUUUCUUCGGAUUAUUGUUGGAAGUUCCGACAACAACUGUAAUUUUUCCGUUUCUCAAGCCAUGUUCAAUCCUAGCUCUUAUAUCAACGAGUUCAAAUAAACCCAUGGAUAUACUUCCCACCAUAUUCUCAUAGAAGGUAGGUUGAACAAUAUCCAUGAAAAGUUCAGCAAGUUCUUUUUUCAUAAGAGGUGGUUCCACCUUAGAGGCCAGUUCUCUCCACCUUUGUAUGUACUCCUUGAAUGAUUAUUUGUCCUUUUAGGACAUGUCCUAUAGAUGUCUCUUAUCAGGCGCCAUAUCCAUAUUAUAUUUGUAGUGCUUGAUGAAGGUGUCUGACAGGUCUUGGAAACACCUGAUUGUACUCUAAUCGAGGCUCAAGUACCACUUGGAAGGUGCGCCAUUCAAACUGUCUUGGAAACAGUGUAUCAUUAAUUUAUCAUCUUCCACAUGGGAAGCUAUCUUAAGGUAAUACAUGAUGGGAUGGCUCUUUUGGAAAGUGUGACCCUUGUAUUUGUAAAAAUCUAGCGUUUUAAACUUUGUAAGGAUCACUAAACCAGAUACUAGACACAUUUCUUUGGCAGCAACUCCAAAGACUUGUUAUCCCUCCAUAGCUCGUUGUCUCUUCUCGAGGAUAUGAUAACUCUCUUUCACCUCUCUGAUGUCUUCAUCUCUCAAAUCAUCACCUUGAAUUGACGAUUCAACAAUAUGGUAUAUCUGGUGAUGGUCUUCGAAGUGCGGUGUGGCCCUUGCAUGGACAACUGGUGGUGCAACAGUGUCGACGACUAGGCAUGCUUCAGUGAAUAUUGGCAAAUGCACUACUUGUUGGAUCAAUUUUCUAAUCUCUAGUACCCCCUCUGCUCGAGGUACAAAGUCGAAAGGUAGCCCAAAUGGUGGCCAUGUAGAAGGUACCUACCUUGUAGGUUGGGUUCGAAUGAAGGACCUGAGAUUUUAAAAAUAACAGUCACUUGAGGAGUUUCAAGCCUGAAGAUCAAAGCUUAGAGCAUUUCUCUCAUCUGGUUGAUGCCUCCUUUGAUGUUAUCAAGUUCUGCCCUUACUAUAGCACUUUCUUGUUCUUGGUCGACCAUUUUUUGACGAGCUCAGGCUUAGGUGUUGUAUUGGUGUUGAAAAUUCAGCGUGGAACUGGAGGAAGAAAGAUGGAGUGAGAUUUUAUUUAGAAAUGCAUGAAUUCAUAUAUGGAUGCGUAUUUUGUUUGCAAAAGUCUUGGUUAAUUUCAUCAUUUAUUUUAGUAAUGUUACAACAUUUGUUUACAAGUAUUUAUAACAUUAAAGUAGCAAAACACAAUAAAUGAAUCUAAAAGCAACUUUUCAUUAAUUCAAAUUCAAAUACAAGAGAAAGCCUAAUGCAUUAAAAAGAGAAAUAGAAGAUUUAAAGGGACAAAUAACAUAAUUAACUAGAACAUCUACCGUCACAUUUAUUAGUUUAAGCGAUGAUGAGCAAAAAUUUAGAAAGCAAAGUAUGAAAAAUGCCCGUCACUAGAAAGAAUAGAAAGAAGGUUUCCUCUAGAGUUAUGUGUCAUUAUUUUUUGGAAAGAGGACACAUUAGGCCUAAAUGCGACACUCAGAAUGUGAAAAAUUCAAAUGGUCUCAUGGCAUGGAGACCUAAGAGUCCUAGUGUUAACUCCUAAGGACCCAACACUAGUUGGGGACCUAAAAUUCCAUGUUGAUUGUCUUGUAGGAAUUUCAUGCAGCAACAAAUAGGAUGUGGUUCCUAGGUAGUGGUUUUCAAGACAUAUGACGGAAGACAUAUCGUUAUUCAUUGACUUCGUCAAGAAAGAGCGCGACUUCGUUAUGUAUAGAGAUAAAAACAAAGGUAAAAUACUAGGAGAAGGUAUUGUGGGAAAUCCCUCCACAAUCACCAUAGACGGUGUUUUGUUUGUAAAAAGGCUUAAACAUACUCUUCUUAGCAUAAGUCAAUUAUGUGAUAAGGGUUAUUCCAUAACUUUUGACCACCUUAAUUUCAUAAUCGAACAUAAGAAUGUCAAUGAGAAAAUGCUUAAUCUAGAUGACAUAUCAAAUAUUGGUACCAAGUGUUUAGUCACCUAGAGUGAAGACUCUUAGUUGUGGCAUAAACACUUAGACCAUGUCCAUUUUGACUUAAUUAAUAAAAUAGAUUAUAAGAAUCUAGUAAUUGGUUUUCCUAAAAUAAUUUUUUCUAAAGAAAAGCUUUGUGAUGCAUGCCAAAUGGGAAAGCAAAUAAUAAUGGCUUUUAAAUCCAAAAAUAGUGUUUCCACUUCAAAACCUCUUGAGCUUCUCCAUCUAGAUCUCUUUGGUCCUUUAAGGACCAGGAGUCUACGAGGAAACUACUACGACUUUGUGAUAAUAUAUGAUUUUACUAGAUUUACUUGGACCCUAUUUGUAAGUCAAAAGGAAGAAACCAUUAAAUUCUUUGUGAAAUUUGUUAAGCUUAUCCAAAACUGACUAAAUUUUAAAGUAGUCACCCUAAGAAGUGACCAUGGUGGUGAAUCUAUUAACCACCAAUAUGAAAGCUUUUGCAAUAAAAACGGUAUAGCCCAUAACUUCUCAUGUCCGCACACUCCAUAGCAAAAUGGUGUUGUGGAGCGUAAAAACCGCGUUUUAGAAGAAUUAACACAAAUAAUGAUAAGUGAAAUGGGUUUUCCUAAGUACUUUUGGGCGGAUGCGAUUAACACCACAUGUCGUGUCUUAAAUAGGAUGCUCAUACGACCUAUCCUAUAGAAGACAUCCUAUGAUUUACUUAAGGGUAGGAAACCUAAUAUUUAUUAUCAAUCAUCAUCACAUACAACAAAUCAUACAUAAAUAACAGAGUAAUGUUAAAAUCCUCAUGCCCUAAUGGAGGUUAAGGAUUCCUCAAUUCCACCCCUCAUGCAUACAUCCGUUAUUGAAAUAGUUCCCCCUACCCGUUAUUGAAAUGCUUCUAAUUUAUAUCACUAGGGUAAAUCUUAUUAUAAUUCUAAUUUUGGCCCAAACUCUUAUUCCUCUUACUCCUUCCUCCCUUCUACACCUCACAAAUAACAUUUUGGCUUCAAACUUUCAAAUUCCUAUUAAAUUAAAUAAGUAUAAUAAAAUACUCUUAUUUCAAUUAUUAGAAUAGACUAUAAUAAUUUAAUCAACCUCUACUAGCCUCUAAUAACUCUCCACACUCUUACUCUAAUGUCACAUACCCCUACUGUCGCACCUCGAAAAAUGGGGAUACGACUUUAAGUGAGGCGCAAUCGCACGCUCGCAAUGAUGGACUGAACAGAGUCACCACCAAACUUUAUUUAUUCCUAAAAAGGAAAGGGGAAAUAUCGAUAAAACCCAAGAAAGAACGACAAUGAUUAUUGGUCGUCGCAACCAAAUCAGGGUUUGGGAGUUGAUUACGCAAGGGGAAGGUAUUAGCACCCCUCACGUCCGUUGUAUUCAACGGGAACCGUUUAGUUAGUUUCUUUUUUAAUGUUAGCUUAUGUUAGUCUUCUCAAGUUAUUAGGAGGGAAAAAAUAAUAGGAUCAAAAGAAAAGAGAAGAUAUUUUUGGAUUUUUGCAAUAAUGGGGACUAAACCUAAGUUUUUUAUUAAUGGGCCUGACAAGAUUUCGCAAUCCUGCUCCUACGUAUCUCAAUAGAGAACUCAAGGCUUACGUAGUUCUGGGUAGAAAAUGUUUGUUUGUUGGUCGAUUAGGGCCUGACAAGAUUUCGCAAUCCUGCUCCUACGUAUCUCAAUAGAGAACUCAAGGCUUACGUAGUUCUGGGUAGAAAAUGUUUGUUUGUUGGUCGAUUUUAGCGAAAGCUAUAUUGUAUUAAUCGACAAAAACAUUGUUUUACCCAAAACAGAUGAGGAGUGGACGUAUAUCACACAUCGAAUGGAUUUACAAAUCAUCAUUCGGAAAAACGUCACUUAUCUCGACUCAACAAUUGUGGCCGAAACAUUGUUUUGCAUUACCUUAAGACAAUAUAUCUUUUGUUCAUGAAAAAGGUUUUUGAUUAGUCGCACGGCGGCGAGAAAAGAGUUUGAUUGGUUGGAUGUAUUUUGAGUGAUAGCGAGAACUUGGAUGAGCGAGAUAUCCAUCUCGAAUCCUAGUCUCGGGAGUGCACGGUAUAUACCAUGUUCCAUUUCCAUCCUUAUUGAAAAAGUGUUUAAUAAAGAUUAAGUGUUUUGAAUUUGAUUGAGAAAGGGGUUUGAAGAAACCGCAUUGACAAUUUUAGACGAUGGCGAGAGCCAAGAUAGGCAAGGCAUCCACCUUGAAUCUUAAUCUCAGGAAUGCACGGUAUACACCAUGUUCCAUUUCCAUCUUUAUCGAAAAAGUGUUAAGGUAGGAAUUAAGUAUUUUUUUGAGUUUUAGAAGACGAAUAUUUAAGAACGAGACAUAAGCCCCGAGAUUAAUAAUUUAGGGUUCCACCAGAAUGCUAGAUUCCAAUGGUUCUUUUUCAUUCGAAUUAUUUAAGAAAAUUAUGUGGGUAUUGCUUAAAAGCACUCGACUUACAAGGGUAUAAAAAAACGGGCUCGAUUGAAUCAGGAGUCGUUUAAUUAACCAAAAUUUAAACUAAUCAAGGAGAAUUCUAAAUAAUCAAUUAAAUGACGUGAGUAUAAAAAUAAAUUAAUUUUGAUUUGUCAAAUAAAACAAACAUAUUUGCAAAUAGGUGAUAAAUAAUUAGAUAGAUAUAUGUGGAAGUAGAGACCAAGGAGAGAGUUAGUGCCCCCCCCCCUUUUAUCACCUUCUGUCACCAUGACUUGCUAUUAUUAUUAUUAUAUAUAUAGCAAAGCUUAAGUACCAAUCCCAAAACGACACGUGGCGCCUAAUUAAAAAGCAACAAAAAUAAAAGUUGAGAAUGGACCAAACAUUAGGAAAUAUUUCGAUCAACUUUCCUCCAAGCAUUCCACACAUUGAUCAACAAGCCACUAUAACACAAACUCAGACAUGCAGAAUGCAUUACAAACAACUAUACUAACAUGGUCAUUUCCCAAACAAAUCACAACAUUGCAUAUUCAAACAUCUCAUGCACAUACAUCCUAGCAGACCUGCUUGUGAAAUUACAACGGGCUGUAACCGUGCAUCAAUAUCAUAUAACAACUCCAUCAAUUCUUGCAUUGCAUAACAGACUGAAACAAACAGCUAAAAGAUGAACACUUUGCACUGCAUAACCAAUUUUGUUUCAAUCAGCAAAAUCAAGGCCUUGCUCGAAAAUAUUCCUAGCAUUUGAUUCAUAAAUAGAGGAAAACAACUACGACAUGGAUUUUUCAGUAAAAUCACCAUUAGGCAUAUCAAUCAGCAUGUUAAUCUAACAGUCCUAUUCAACUAAUUGUUAGUAAUAAAUCUAACAAUUCUAAUUUCCCAAUUAACAUUUGCAUCAUCUAAUUAACAACAUUCACUAACCAAUGCUUGGUACAACAACUUAACAUGAAUUAACAUGAUAGAAGUACAAAUUAAUGGCAUCACCACAAAUCAACACCAAGUCAAUUACUAAACCAGAACCUGCAGCAAGGAACUGGUUGCAGAACUGAUGCAACCUAUGAACCUGCAACAACAACUCCACAGAACCCUGCUCACAAAAUGCUAUGAAAAACCAUUUACAAUCACCUAACAUAAAUGACGAUAACCACUACUUUUGAGGUGUGACGGAAUUUGAACCGAAAAUGGAUCGGAUUGAAUAUAAGUUCAAAAAUGUUGAGGUUACCAUUGUUUACAUCCGAGCAACAGGUUAUGUUGUUGUUGACGGUUAGCUGCUUGUUCAAAAACUUCCUGCUAAUCUUUUAGAUCGACUUCUGCUGAUAUCCAUGCUAUGAGUUAUACCAAAACGCAUCCAGGAUACCACAAGUGUCAACAACGGAGUUUGUCGGAGAGAAAAUGAAGCUCGAAAAGACAAAUGCUUUAUCGCCGAAAAGAAAUUCCAGAUUUGAGCUUCAUUCUUCUAAUGAUCAGAACUUUAAUAUGUUUCGAAUCCGGCAUGGCAGACAAGCUUUACCCAUUCCUUUGAGUGUUGUCUCGGUGACGUCCUCUUGGAUAAUCGUGAGGCGACUUGAAGGGACUCCUUGGAAUUGUUUGUGAAGCUCAAGAACCAUACGAGAAUCGAUUUCGAAAACAAUAACCUUCUUACCGGCAUCCAAAAGCUUCUUAGUCACAUUACCGCUACCAAGACCGAUUUCAAGCACAACAUUAGUAGUUUUGUUUCUAGAUUUCUGGACAAUGGAAUCAACAAGUAGUGGAUUUUUGAGUAUAUGUUGACCUUUAGAUUUGUGGAAAGAAAUUCCACCUUAGGGUGUAUGUUGUGAAGGUUUUCCCCUUUUCCUUCUUCAGUUUACCUCUGGCGAUGGAGAUGCCACGACAAAAGUUGGAAACGGAGGCUGAGGGUUUUGACGUGUUAGGAAGGUGGUGAUGAUGCGAAGGUUAGGGUGGCGAGGGUGUGUUGUUGUUAUGCGCGUCGUUUUGGGAAUUGGCGGUUUAUGGCGAAGAUGCGGUAUUUGUGUGGUUCCGGGAAAAAAACAGACGAUGAAGGUCGGAGUUGAGGGAUGUAUCGAAGUUGUUGGUUGUUGGGCGAAAUGAACGACGGAAAAUGGGGAGGAAGAAGGGUUUACGGUGGGUUCGAUGUAUUGUUCCCGAAAGUGAAGAAGAGGGAUGAUAUGGUGGUGGUAGAAUUUCGCUGUGAGGGUUUCGUGGUGGUGUUUGAGGAAGGCGUGGAUUUUCGGUGGUGUGGCGGCGAAUGAAAGACGAUGGUGGUGAAGGGCGGAGAAGGGUUGUUGUGUGAAGGUUGAAGGUGAUUAAUGAUGAAAGAGAUGACGGUGAGGGCUUAUGGAGGAGGGAGUGUGAGUUAGCGUGAGGGAGUAGGUCUGCCAAAAGUGAAGAGUUUCCCCCUUUUUUUCUAGUAUGCAGUCACGUCCCGAGCAUUAAAGAUGAGGUUCCUCCUUUUAUGUUCAAUUUCUUAGCCACGCGAGAGGAGAAAAGAGCCGUUGGUAUUGUGGGCCAUUUGGUCCCCCCCUAUUGCUCCAAGUUUCUUCUCCUCUUAUUUCUCUUAUUUGUUUAAUUUUGAUUGGUCGAGAGAGGUGGACAUGGAUAGCCAUUGGGAGCCUUUGAUUAUUUUGAAAUUGACAACCAGGAUCGGAUAAAAAACACAUAAUGGUACGAUAAAAUUACAAAUGUCUAAAGGCCCUUCUAGAUGCUUUUAUUCAUGAAAAUCAAAUUCAAUUAAUUAAAAUAAAUAAAAUUCACACCUUUUAAAAUAACCACAAUAAAAAUAAAAUGAUGACAUGAACAAUUCUAUUUAAUAUUUCUGAAUUUCCUGAUAAAAUAAUGAAAAUAAACGGAUUUAAAAUGAAUAAAAAUUAGGUGCGAAAUCGCUCGAAAAAUUAAAUUGAAUGCACCAAAAUGAUCAGUAUGAAAUAAACUUAUUGGAAAAAUACAGCGUUUCUUUUAAUUUUGAAAUAAAUUUUGACCGGUUAAACAGGCUUGAGCUGAUCAGAAAGUGGCCAAAAAAUUAGCUGAAAAAUAAAUCGAGCAUACCAAAUUAAACUACGCGAAACGUAGAUUAAUAAAAUUGAUGUCUAGAAGCUUGAUUUUAAAAUUUUUCGUUCACUGAUUUAACGCACAUCCGUUGAUUAAUUCAACCGGUUUGUCUGUAGAUCCGAAAAAAAUUAUUUCGACUGAUAUUUUAGGCACUAUGCGGUAUGGAGUGCAUGGUAUGCUAUGUAGACAUGCAAUAGCUAUGAUGAAUGUAUUGAAUCAGCGAUUCUGGGUCAAAAUUGGGGUAUGACACCUACCAUCCUUAUUUAUUUAAUUAAUAUUAUCCAAUAAUCAAAUAAAUACACAAAAAUCAUAAUAAAUUAAUUAUUUUCAAUAAAUCAAAACAUGGGUGUUACAACAACUGCUACAGAUAUGGAGACAUAUUUCACCGAACAAGAGCAAGCCUUAGCCAAUAGGCGAGCUAAGAUGAGGACUACGUCGGCAAGAUAAAAUCAAUAAUUUCAAGAUGGCAUGAAUGAUAUAAAUAACUUCUCCGACCCAGAUAACAUGUGACUUAGGAGUUUGUAGGUUUUUAGUAAUUUCCACUUUGAUGCAAGGAAGAGUACUAGCAAACUAUCAUGAAUCCUCCCCACCCCCCUCUUUUUUUGCUUUAAUUAAUGAACUAGUGCUAUUAUAAAAAAAAGUCACCAGAAAAGAAUGAACAAAAGUGAUCGUCAUAUAAUCUCCCUUGAAUAUUGACAUUUGAUGAAGAAAAGAGAAGUUGACUACUUGUACUCAAUCUCUAGAUAUCUCACUUAGUAAGGUUUGAGCCAAAUAUUUCACUAUUCACUUUUCCUUCUUAUGAGAGUAUCCGUACAUUAGUUAUUUUCUAGAAUAUACAUUGUUUCUAAAUUGAGUCCAUUGGUCUGAUAAAUACACAUUGAGGCAAAUGUUUGUGAAAACUAUGAGUUGUUUAAAAAACCAUACUAUUGAAAUAUGAUUAUAUCCCUUGUCAACCAUUUGACCCUUAGUCAUUAUUUCGUCGACAUAACAUAUUAUAUAGCCAUUUGACUCCAAAUAUUAAACCUAUUCACCCUCCUUAGAGUUUGGUAGAAAUAUUUAUUUUACUUGUCUGAUGCAAAAGAAUAACUUUGAGUUGCUCUUCAAAGUAAGCAACAUUUAAGUUUGGGAUUGGAGUACUAUAGAAAUUUGGUCAAAAAGAAAUAAAAAUAAAAAUAAGAAGAUAAAAAUCACUUCUUUAAAAAUAACUUGUGAAAAAAGAAAAAGGACCAACAUAAGGAAUUCUCUAAUUCCAAGAAAAAAAAGAGUGAUAUGAAAGGAAACAUAUAAUACCAGGAAAACUAGGUACCUAACUCCAAAGGUGUAAGUCUAUUAUCCUAAAUUAUCCUACAUUGACACAAGCCAUGUCACAACCUUAAAAUGACUUCAAAAGUAUAUGUUUAAAUAUGACCUUGAUUGAUUCUGUUAUAAACUUUACAAACUCAUUGUUAAAUGCUUUUGUAUGUUGAUUGUGUGAUUACCUUGUCAAAUUGAGUGAAUAUAUGUGAGAUGAGAGACAACUUAAGUACUUGUAUGAUCGUAAUAACUUUUUUGAGUUACUUGGAUUAAAGGAGAGAAUUGAAGUGUUGAUAAAAAAAGUAAGAAAGGUGACAGACAUUUGUAAGGAUGAGCAUUUUAAUUUUGAUGAAAGUUUUAGUGUGCAAACAUGUUACUUGAGGACAAGAAACAAGGUAUGUUUUGGUUUGUGAUGGCAAUCAAUCAUUACAUUAUAUUUACGAGCAAUUUUUUAUGAAAUCGAUAGAUUAAUGAGCAAAAGCCAUACCAAAUUAUGAAGAAAUGAGCCAAAAUCUAUGAAGAGGAAGAUAUGUGGACUUAGUGGAAACAUUUAACAAAAAUAGAAGAAUUUAGCCUCUGGAUUUCACAUGGUCGUGAUGUUGACAUCGUGGGCACGAUGAUGUCACAUCAUGGGCGUGAUUCUUAGUAAUGCAUGCGCGAUAGUGCGCAGGCCUGACACUCAGUAAUUGCUAUAAAUAGAUUUUUUUGCUACUUUUUGGGGAGUUUCGAAUUUGAGAUAGAAAGUGACGGUCAUGAGCUUUUGGAGCACGGAUUUUGAGAGCAUUGGAGAGCUUAUUUUUCAUAGAUUUUGAUGAAGGAGUCUUAUCAACUCAUUAUAAUUGUUAAACUCUUUAUGAGUAGCUAAGUUAUUCUAGAUUACCGUAAUUGUAAUUCAAUUAAUACACAGUUUAUCAACAGGUAUAACUAAGGGAUUCAAGAUAAAGAUCUAAUCUCCUUUAUUAUCGAACUCUACUUCGAAAAAUUUCCCAACUUGUUUUCGUAACAAAACAUUGUUGAAAACUGUCAUUUGUUAAUAAUUUUAAAUCGUAUUAUUAAUACCUUGUUAGAUUUACAUUCCCUUUGUAGACAAAUUAUUUUAUUAAUUCGACGAGACAAUUACACUUGCUAGAAUUAUCAUCAGUAUGUUGUAAACGUUUGUGUUAUUGUUGAUGUUUUUGUUGAGGUAUGUUUCAAUGUUUGUGUUAUUAUUCAUGUUAUACCUUGUAUAUUGCAAUUUUCAUUAUGUGCAAUCAACAUGUCAUAGAUGAUGAGUUAUUAUAUUGUAUGUGGUUUGACUAUUUUUCUAACCCUCUACUAAAUAUAUAACCUUUCGAAUUGAAUUAGAAAAAUAUAAUAUGAGAUGUUAUGUUAUAUUUGAAAACAAGUUGCACUAAUCAGUAUUUUAUGAGCUUUUUGCACCAUAUUAUUUGUAUUUUACUCUUUAAUGGUUAGAACUUCGUUCAAUGCAUCUAUAGUUGUUCUGAUGUCACUUCCUUCACAUUUUAUUUCGUCUGCAAAGUAAAUACUUUUUUGGAAAAUGAAAAAGAGAUAAAGGAAGUGUUAGUAGACGAAUUAGAAGCAUUGGAACAAGUGCAAACUAUUAAAGAGCAAAAUACGGAUAAUGAAUUGUAUAAAGGUUGUACAACAUUGAUUAAUUUAACUUAUUUUUCUAUAAUAAAACUUAAUUUGUCAUAUUAUUGAACUAAACAUUCCAUAUAAAUUAGAAUAAACUCAAGUAAGCAUGUCACUAUAGUUGAGAUCUAGAAUCAUAGUGAAACGUUGUAAGCUAAUUUUUUCUAGAACCAUGGUGAAAUGGAUUGAAAUCUACAAAAAUCCCGGGGUUGGGUCUCGAACCCCUUACCUCAACCUUUUACUACGGUUGUUAUAUACAUUUGUAGUGGUACGUUACGCGUUUCUGUGUUUUUACCACAACUAAUAAUCCGUAGUGGUAAAGAGAGCACAUACAACCAUACCCUUCUUUACUACGGACCACCGUUGGUGGUGGAAUCCUUCUCACAACCGUGAUAAAAAAGUAUUAUUUAUAGUAAUGACCAUCCCUGCAAGUUAGAAAGUCAAUCCAUAUAUAUUUCAUACAACUUUUCUUACAUACAUGCGUGUUAUUUACCUGAGGACAUACUUACGACUUUCACUUUAGAAUUAAAAGAUUUUAGUUGAAGUUAAAGAUUCAUAAGAAGUUUCCUAGUAAAGCUAUUUUCUACAUAUUUUUUAUUCAAAUCCGUAGAAACAUUGCAGGAAAUUCUUGGAAUGUAAAUUAAAGACAUGGAGAUAUCUUUGAAAUUGUGUGAGACGAGGACAAUUUAAAAAUCAUAAUUUGCUGCCUUAUUUAAUUUGGUUACAAUAAUCUUAUCUUAAUAUACAAAAGCAUAACUACAAUUUGAUGGCAACAUAAUAACUAAUGGGAAUAUGGUCAUAUGGGAGUGAUCACUUUAGUACAUCUACAUCGUCUACCCACACACUUCGCUACAUAUGGUCCUUGGCACAAAUUUGGUGGACAAUCAGAAUCCCUGAAACAUCUAUUAAUACCUAGAAUGAAAAAUGAGAAUAAAAUAAUUUAAAUAAUAUGCGUUAAAUGUUUAUACAAAGUAACGAAUGAAUUUGUAAAGAAUAAAAAAUGGAUUACUUGCAAUAGUCGAUGGCACAAGAAAUAUGAAAGUAAAGAAAAUCAUUACAUAAAUAAACUUGACAAUUUUAGUCAUAGUUCCUCUUUGCAAUUAAGAAAUAGUUUUAUCAGUUUAUAUUUGUUAUGGUUUCACCUCUCCUCACACCAAUUAAAAUAUUUUUUGACCUUUAUAUAAUUGUAAGAAAUCCUUUUUAAAAUUAGAAAAAUUAUUAAAUAAUUUCUUAAGUAUAUCAAUGUCUAGU
rnacentral:lncRNA from 1 species